rnacentral:rRNA from 1 species
GACGAACGCUGGCGGCGUGCCUAAUACAUGCAAGUAGAACGCUGAAGGAGGAGCUUGCUUCUCUGGAUGAGUUGCGAACGGGUGAGUAACGCGUAGGUAACCUGCCUGGUAGCGGGGGAUAACUAUUGGAAACGAUAGCUAAUACCGCAUAAUAGUAGAUGUUGCAUGACAUUUGCUUAAAAGGUGCAAUUGCAUCACUACCAGAUGGACCUGCGUUGUAUUAGCUAGUUGGUGGGGUAACGGCUCACCAAGGCGACGAUACAUAGCCGACCUGAGAGGGGGAUCGGCCACACUGGGACUGAGACACGGCCCAGACUCCUACGGGAGGCAGCAGUAGGGAAUCUUCGGCAAGGGACGGAAGUCUGACCGAGCAACGCCGCGGGAGUGAAGAAGGUUGUCGGAUCGUAAAGCUCUGUUGUAAGAGAAGAACGAGUGUGAGAGUGGAAAGUUCACACUGUGACGGUAGCUUACCAGAAAGGGACGGCUAACUACGUG